rnacentral:rRNA from 1 species
GGGAAACUGCCUGAUGGAGGGGGAUAACUACUGGAAACGGUAGCUAGUACCGCAUAACCUCGCAAGAGCAAAGAGGGGGACCUUAGGGCCUCUCGCCAUCAGAUGUGCCCAGAUGGGAUUAGCUAGUAGGUGAGGUAAUGGCUCACCUAGGCGACGAUCCCUAGCUGGUCUGAGAGGAUGACCAGCCACACUGGAACUGAGACACGGUCCAGACUCCUACGGGAGGCAGCAGUGGGGAAUAUUGCACAAUGGGCGCAAGCCUGAUGCAGCCAUGCCGCGUGUGUGAAGAAGGCCUUCGGGUUGUAAAGCACUUUCAGCGAGGAGGAAGGCGAUAAGGUUAAUAACCUUAUCGAUUGACGUUACUCGCAGAAGAAGCACCGGCUAACUCCGUGCCAGCAGCCGCGGUAAUACGGAGGGUGCAAGCGUUAAUCGGAAUGACUGGGCGUAAAGCGCACGCAGGCGGUCUGUUAAGUUGGAUGUGAAAUCCCCGGGCUUAACCUGGGAACUGCAUUCAAAACUGACAGGCUAGAGUCUUGUAGAGGGGGGUAGAAUUCCAGGU